AACGCGGCCGUCGGCUUGCCGGCGGUCGUAGUGAGUCGCCUUGCGAAUGAAUGACAAUAAAACCAAUGCCCUUCACGGGGCAGCAACACGAAGCAGUGUUGAACCAAUUCAUUCUGCGAAAGCCGGUUUACCGGCGUCUUUUGAUGAACAACUGCCCUAUCAGCCAGUGAUGGCCGUGUAGUGGACUGCCAUGGCGUUGACGGGAGCGGGGGAUUAGGGUUCGAUUCCGGAGAGGGAGCCUGAGAAACGGCUACCACUUCUACGGAGGGCAGCAGGCGCGCAAAUUGCCCAAUGCCAAAAAAUGAUGAGGCAGCGAAAAGAAAUAGGUCUCCUAAACACCUCUACGGUGUUUGGGAGUUGCAAUGGGGGAUAUUUAAACCCAUCCAAUAUCGAGUAACAAUUGGAGGAUAAGUCUGGUGCCAGCACCCGCGGUAAUUCCAGCUCCAAGAGCGUAUAUUAACGCUGUUGCUGUUAAAGGGUUCGUAGUUGAACUGAGGGUUGACAAGCGGCCGACUCAGUCCCAUCCUCCGGAUCGGUGACCGUCGCUCUUGCAACUCGUGAACAUCAGAAACAAACAUUACGGGAACGUUACCUCGCAGAUUCGCAUGCAAUGUAUGCAGCGGGGCGCCCGUAUGUCUUACCGUGACUAAAAAAGCGCGACCAA
rnacentral:rRNA from 1 species